rnacentral:rRNA from 1 species
AGAGUUUGAUCAUGGCUCAGAACGUACGCUGGCGGCACGCCUAACACAUGCAAGUCGAACGAAGUAGCAAUACUUAGUGGCAGACGGGUGAGUAACAUGUGGGUAUCUACCCUUUGGCCUGGAAUAACACGAGGAAACUUGUGCUAAUACCGGAUAAGUCUUUACGGAGAAAGCUUUAUGCACCAUUGGAUGAGCCUGCACUUGAUUAGUUUGUUGGUGGGGUAAUGGCCUACCAAGACUGUGAUCAAUAGCUGAUUUGAGAGGAUGAUCAGCCACAUUGGGACUGAGACACGGCCCAAACUCCUACGGGAGGCAGCAGUGGGGAAUCUUGCACAAUGGAGGAAACUCUGAUGCAGCGAUGCCGCGUGAGUGAAGAAGGCCUUUGGGUUGUAAAGCUCUUUCGUCGGGGAAGAAAAUGACUGUACCCGAAUAAGAAGGUCCGGCUAACUUCGUGCCAGCAGCCGCGGUAAUACGAAGGGACCUAGCGUAGUUCGGAAUUACUGGGCUUAAAGAGUUCGUAGGUGGUUGAAAAAGUUAGUGGUGAAAUCCCAGAGCUUAACUCUGGAACUGCCAUUAAAACUUUUCAGCUAGAGUAUGAUAGAGGAAAGCAGAAUUUCUAGUGUAGAGGUGAAAUUCGUAGAUAUUAGAAAGAAUACCAAUUGCGAAGGCAGCUUUCUGGAUCAUUACUGACACUGAGGAACGAAAGCAUGGGUAGCGAAGAGGAUUAGAUACCCUCGUAGUCCAUGCCGUAAACGAUGUGUGUUAGACGUUGGAAAUUUAUUUUCAGUGUCGCAGGGAAACCGAUAAACACACCGCCUGGGGAGUACGACCGCAAGGUUAAAACUCAAAUGAAUUGACGGGGACCCGCACAAGUAGUGGAGCAUGUGGUUUAAUUCGAAGAUACGCGCAGAACCUUACCAACACUUGACAUGUUCGUCGCGACUCUAAGAGAUUAGAGUUUUCGGUUCGGCCGGACGAAACACAGGUGCUGCAUGGCUGUCGUCAGCUCGUGUCGUGAGAUGUUGGGUUAAGUCCCGCAACGAGCGCAACCCUCACUUUUAGUUGCCAUCAUUAAGUUGGGCACUCUGAAAGAACUGCCAGUGAUAAGCUGGAGGAAGGUGGGGAUGACGUCAAGUCCUCAUGGCCCUUACGUGUUGGGCUACACACGUGCUACAAUGGCAGUGACAAUGGGUUAAUCCCAAAAAGCUGUCUCAGUUCGGAUUGGGGUCUGCAACUCGACCCCAUGAAGUCGGAAUCGCUAGUAAUCGCGUAACAGCAUGACGCGGUGAAUACGUUCCCGGGCCUUGUACACACCGCCCGUCACACCAUGGGAGUUGGUUCUACCCGACGACGCUGCGCUAACCCUUCGGGGAGGCAGGCGGCCACGGUAGGAUCAGCGACUGGGGUGAAGUCGUAACAAGGUAGCCGUAGGGGAACCUGCGGCUG